rnacentral:lncRNA from 1 species
ACAAGUUAGGGUAUCUAGAGAGCUUGGAAUCGGUGACAUGUAUGAAUAAUCUGGUCGUUAUCAUUAGUAUUAAAAAUAUUUAAAUUACAUAUUAAUAUUUUUUAUUCAUUUUUUUAUAUAAAUUAAUUUUUAGAAAAAAAACGGAAGAUGGAGUUGUUGCCAGAUGAAUUGGUGUAGACUCUUCCUCUUUAAGCUCAGGCGUCAAUUGAAUUGGCUAGGCCUAUAGGAGGCGUCAAUUCAAUUGACGUCAACUCUUUAAUUUUAAAGGCAG